rnacentral:rRNA from 1 species
GACGAACGCUGGCGGCGUGCCUAAUACAUGCAAGUUGAGCGCUGAAGGUUGGUACUUGUACCAACUGGAUGAGCAGCGAACGGGUGAGUAACGCGUGGGGAAUCUGCCUUUGAGCGGGGGACAACAUUUGGAAACGAAUGCUAAUACCGCAUAAAAACUUUAAACACAAGUUUUUAGUUUGAAAGAUGCAAUUCCAUCACUCAAAAAUGAUCCCGCGUUGUAUUAGCUAGUUGGUGAGGUAAAGGCUCACCAAGGCGAUGAUACAUAGCCGACCUGAGAGGGUGAUCGGCCACAUUGGGACUGAGACACGGCCCAAACUCCUACGGGAGGCAGCAGUAGGGAAUCUUCGGCAAUGGACGAAAGUCUGACCGAGCAACGCCGCGUGAGUGAAGAAGGUUUUCGGAUCGUAAAACUCUGUUGGUAGAGAAGAACGUUGGUGAGAGUGGAAAGCUCAUCAAGUGACGGUAACUACCCAGAAAGGGACGGCUAACUACGUG